ensembl:lncRNA
UGGUUGGAGAUAAGUACAAAUAACCCUGGGAGAAAACCUCCUGAAGUUUGCAAGAGACCUGGGACCUCGACAAUUACCACAAAAUUACAGCCAAAACCAUAUUUCAGUGACUUAAAACCAAAAGGUUAAUGUCAAAGCAUGGACUUCAAUGCUAGGAUAACAGAGUCCUGGACAAAUCCUAAUGCAUCAUUAGUUUUGACUGUGAUGAGCCUCGAACACAGAACCUGUUGUUUGGUAGUAUGUGUCACUAACCACUAAGGGGCAGGCGAGCGGUCACUCACUCAGUAAGAGACAUUCGCUCUUCUUUUGUGUGUCACCAUUCAUUUCAUCCAUAGCGGAUCUUCUGAUCAACACCACGAUCAUCACCAGACAGGUCAGGAUUUUGACAUUGGACUUCCUCCUCGUCCUGCUGUGUCUCCAACAUAGAUUAAUCUCUGUCAAAGACAACAUAAAAGGGUGCCAAAAUCUUAGAUUCAGCUCUGUCAAAGACAACAUAC